rnacentral:tRNA from 1 species
GGGAAGGUGGCUCAGUGGUAGAGCUCUUGCCUUGCAUGCAUGAGGCCCUGGGUUCGAUUCCUCAGCCCCA